UUGAGGCAUUAAAGCGAUAUCGACUUGCUACCCCUUUAAAUGCUUGCCUGCCCUCCUAUUAAUGAAUGCGUGUUUGAUGAAGGCAAUUUAACAACACUCUUUAAGUAGACAAGCACACUUUGCAUGACUCCUGCAAUCCAAACUACACCAUUUAUAUGAUCUACUUACACUUUCUCCUUCGUGUAUCCAAACUUUCCUCAAUUAUUAGCUAUAGAUAUUCUCUUCUCUUUUUUACUUUUUCUUUUUCUUCUUCUCGUUAAUUUGUUCCUUCUCACUGUUUUAUUUCCAGUUCGUAUAUCAAAUUCUAGGUGUUUAUUUAUUUAUUUUUUUUUUUUUUUUUUUUCGGGAAAUGGAACCUCCAGAGCUCUCUUUGGGUCCAACACAGUUGUUUUUAAUAAAACAAGUAGUAGAAGUCCACUGGAAUCUGCAGAAAGCAAUACUUGUAGAAAGAGGAAGUUUUUACAAGAUCACCACCUGAAGAGUACUGCUCCAUCUCUGUCACUUCAAACAAGUGUUGAUCUUCAACUUAAAGAUCCCCUUCCAUUGGAUUGGGAGCAGUGCCUUGAUCUUGAUACAGGCAAAAUGUACUAUCUGAACAGAAAGACCUCGAGAAAGAGUUGGAACUGGCCUAUGAACCAGGCACCUGUGAACCUUGAGCUCAACAACCCUCUCCGAUUCGAGUUCUGAUUCACGAUCCAUCCGAAGCUCUGAGGCAAUCGAAGAGGCCAAGAAUAAGAAAGUACAAUGUUCGUCAGGCAGCAGAGACAGUAGUACCAACAACAUGGUGGCUUUGGCUUGCAUGAAAUGCCAUCUCCUUGUUAUUCUUUCCAAGUCUUCUCCUUGUUGCCCCAACUGCAAAUAUGUCCACUCACUUUAAACUUCCAACCAAACCCUCCAAAAUCUCAUCAAGUUUUUAAUCAACCAUUAUUCUUAUGCUUUUUUCAAUAGCCUAGAAAACUGAACAUGAUCUACAAAUUUGGCUAUGCAAAUUCCUUCUGCCAUGUUUGGGUUUCAUUAUGCUGUAAUCUGGUUUAGAUGAGUAAAUAUAAUAUCUCCAUGUGAAGCCAUUCUUGUGUAAUUUUUAGUUUUUGGUUUUUGUUAUGCUGACCCUUGUUUGGGACGAGUAAAUCCAAAGUUCGACUUGAUUUAGC